rnacentral:rRNA from 1 species
AGACCGGUUUACUGGUCGUGCUUUUGUACGUACUGGUAUUAUUGGUUUCUCCUUUCUGACGAAUCAUAAUGCCAUUAAUUUGGUGUUUUGGGGAAUCAGGACUGUUACUUUGAAAAAAUUAGAGUGUUUAAAGCAGGCUCACGCUUGAAUACAUUAGCAUGGAAUAACGAAAUAGGACGU